AUGCUAAAGGCCCAGAAGUGGGCCACGUUCGAAGAAGGAGCCAAGAGCACUUGUCGCCUACGUGACCCUGGGGAAAAACCCAACCUGCUUCAACUGAAAGACAGGGUGACAGUAUCUCCUCAGAGGGCUGCUGUGAGGGCCGGGGAUUUAGCUCAGUGGUUCCGGCACCUGCCUCGCAAGCCCAAGGUCCAAUCCCCGGUUCAAGUUCAAUCCCCGGUACCAAAAAAAAACAAAAAACACCUGCUGUGUUUUCAGGUGUAGAAAAGUCCAGCGCAUACAGUUCUGUGCUAAAAGUUGCACUGUGUACAGUGAUGUACACAUUACUUGACGAAAAUAAAUGAUUACGUACUGGUGCGUGUAUUUAUUAUACUAUAUUUUUAUUUGAGAGUGUAUUCCUUCUACUUAAAAAAGUUUACUAUGAAGUUUGCCAUAAGACGCGAGCUGUAGCCUCAUGUAUCUCGCGCGACCAUCUCUCCUGCUCACGUCGAAGGCCAUGUGGGGUGACACCUUCUGCCACACAGACAGGCGUGAAUACAUCUGUGAGCUCCCCAAAUGACACAUUCUCCCAAAGGUGAAUUUUUCAAAGCCUCUCCCUAUCAUUAAGUGACUUGCAACCAUAGAUAAUAUUGCUAACACUCUAGUAAUUCCUCAUUCCCUUUCUUUUUUUUGGUACCGGAAAUUGAAUUCAGCACCUUGUGCUUGCCAGGCAGGUGCAGCACCACUGAGCUACAUCCCCAGGCCUUCAUUCCUUUUUCUAGUUAUUGUUUGCCUUCUUUUCAAGUUACCAUCCUGUCUUUGUCAUAGGUUGGUUUUUAGCCUUUUAAAAUAUAAACGUUUCAAUUAAAGUAUAACAAAUCUACAAAUGAAUGUAAAUCACAAGCUUACAACCAAAAUUAUAUUCAUUUCUGCAGUGGAUUUUCAUAAAGUGAACAGCAUACAGAAGCAGCACUCAGGUUUAUAGAACUCAGCAUGUCAGGUGUGGUGGCGCUCGCCCGUAAUCCCAGACGCUGGGAGGCUGAGGCAGGAGGAUCCUAAGUGUGAGGCCAGCCAGGGAUACACAGUGGUCCUAGGACAGCGUGAACUACAGAUUGAGACCCUGUGUCAAAAACAAACAAAAAACAAUACAUUGGGUGGACACCUAUAAUCCCAGCAUGCGGGAGGGCCACAAACUCAACCCCAGCCUGGGCAACGUGGUGCCUUACUGAGGCCCUAUCUCAAAAUGUAAUACAUACAGG
rnacentral:lncRNA from 1 species